GUGCUCACUUCAGCAGCACAUACACUAAAAUAUCAAUGAUGCAAAGAAGAUUAGCAUGACUUCUGUGCAAGAAUGACAUGCAAAUUCAUGAAGUGUUCCACAUACUU
ensembl:snRNA U6 U6 spliceosomal RNA